AAAUUGAAGAGUUUGAUCAUGGCUCAGAUUGAACGCUGGCGGCAGGCCUAACACAUGCAAGUCGAACGGUAACAGGAAGCAGCUUGCUGCUUUGCUGACGAGUGGCGGACGGGUGAGUAAUGUCUGGGAAACUGCCUGAUGGAGGGGGAUAACUACUGGAAACGGUGGCUAAUACCGCAUAACGUCGCAAGACCAAAGAGGGGGACCUUCGGGCCUCUUGCCAUCAGAUGUGCCCAGAUGGGAUUAGCUAGUUGGUGAGGUAACGGCUCACCAAGGCGACGAUCCCUAGCUGGUCUGAGAGGAUGACCAGC
rnacentral:rRNA from 1 species